GGCUGGCUCUGGGGGUGCCUGGGGUCCCAGCCCCUGCCCCGUGCUGCAGACGGAGCGUGCCGAGGAGGGCGAGGCACGCCGGGGCGUCAGGAGGAGCGAGUCGGUGGAGAAAGCCCAGGAGGCGGCCACGCUGAUCGCGCAGAGAGCCGUCAACCCCCGCGACAUCUUCAAGCAGAGGGAGAGAGCGGGGCCGGGGGACACGGGGCUGCCAGCACAGCCAGGGAAGCUGCGCAGCCCCUUCCUGCAGCAGGAGCUGAACUCGGUGCCCAGCCCUGCCUCCCCCAGCCGGGAUCUCUGGGGGUCCCCCCCGGCCUCCCCCGUGCCUGCAGCAGGUACCUGCUUGGCUCCCUGCUCUCCCCAGAGCUUCUCUCCUCGUUUUGCCAGCUGCAUCUCACAAAAUCGGGCGUUUGGUGUGGAGGUUUCCAGCUGGUUUUCCCCUGGGGGCUUUGCCUGAGCGCGAUGCUGAGGAUGAGGAUGGUUGCUGCCUGUCCUCAGCUCAGUGCCAGGGGGAUGGGGAUGUCUGCUGCUGGGA